GAUGAACGCUGGCGGCGUGCUUAACACAUGCAAGUCGAACGAUGAAGCCCAGCUUGCUGGGUGGAUUAGUGGCGAACGGGUGAGUAACACGUGAGUAACCUGCCCAUGACUCUGGGAUAAGCCUGGGAAACUGGGUCUAAUACCGGAUAGGAACGUCCACCGCAUGGUGGUUGUUGGAAAGAUUUAUCGGUCAUGGAUGGACUCGCGGCCUAUCAGCUUGUUGGUGAGGUAAUGGCUCACCAAGGCGACGACGGGUAGCCGGCCUGAGAGGGUGACCGGCCACACUGGGACUGAGACACGGCCCAGACUCCUACGGGAGGCAGCAGUGGGGAAUAUUGCACAAUGGGCGAAAGCCUGAUGCAGCGACGCCGCGUGAGGGAUGACGGCCUUCGGGUUGUAAACCUCUUUCAGUAGGGAAGAAGCGAAAGUGACGGUACCUGCAGAAGAAGCACCGGCUAACUACGUGCCAGCCGCCGCCGUAA
rnacentral:rRNA from 1 species